GGCACUGACUUGCAGGCUCAUGGCUGCUCUCUGGGCUGCUCUUUAAGUUGUAAAUGGCCCUGGGGAGGUGGAGCUGCUCUGGACUGUAGGUGGCUGAGUGAACUGCUUUGAAUAGGCUGCCUUCCCAGACAUGAGCUAGAUUUGCGUGACUUUAUGGUGUGGGGAGUGGGGGUUCAGAGGAGGGCUCUGAAAGAACGUUCUGGAAGGGGUUUGGAGCAUGGACGCGUUGGGCAUGUGAGGGCAAGGAAGAAGGGACAAGGUAGGAAAGGUCUCAGUGGUAGGAAAGGCUUCCAGGAGGGAGAAGAGAGGGCACCCAAGGUGCCUCCUGAGAGCCCUCUCCUGCCUGGGGAUUUAUUGUGCGCACCACACCCCUGGACCUCAGGGCUCGCUAUCUCCAGCCUCUCCCCUUCCCUGCGGUGGGUGGGGCAUACCAGCCUGCUAAGGAAAUUCUUGGAAAGAAACCGCAGUGCAACCAUCUAAGACUGGUACUUUUCCACUGCAUGUGUUGAUCUUUGCUUCUAGAACUCCUGGCACGUACACCCCUAUGAUCUCGUAAAGGGCUGGGGCUCUCCGGAGGGACUUUAAGCUUUGGCUGCACCCUGUCACGGUGGCGCUAUGAGUCUGUUGACGUCACCACCUCAAGUUUUUCUCCUCUGACUCAUUCCCCAUCUUCAGUUCUCCUCAGUCUCGUGUCCACCCAUCUUCAGAGAUUUGUGAUGAAGGGAUGUGUGUUUUCACUGUGGCCGACGCUGCCACCUGCCUCCCAAUUUUCCUCUUGUCUUCAGAAACUAGUUAUUUUUACGAAGGAGCAUGCCUCCCUCCAAACCAAUCUGAAAACAAAUAUGGUUUUGGCAUAACGAGCCUGCCUCCUCUAAGGGAACGGCUGCUCAGUCCCAGUAGCUGUCACUUCCUUCACGUGAGUGGGGCAUGUGUUUCCUCUCGUGGUUCCUCUUUGUUUCUCUGCCCUCCUCGCUCUGUGGAAAUGAGCGUGGGCGGGACUCCUCGCUCCAGACCCUGCGUAUCUGAUCCCUCUCAUCUCCCGGAGCCAAUGCGCAGAAAGAAGAUUCUGACCACGUUGUUGUCUUCCUUCAAAAUCUCCUCCAGCAGCUUAAGAUUUUUGCUGCAAGACUAAGGCUGGCUUCCUGUCUGUCAUCCUUAUCAAUGUCUUCUCUUUCUGGGGAACCCAUUCCAGAUUGGCCCAGACUGUCAAACCUUGUUCAGGCACCAGUUAGAAGAGUACUUCUGGGCCCAGGCCACGCUCUGAAAAAUACUUGCUGAGUCUCCCCAGGGAGUCUGGUUGAGGAGGUUAUGGGUCCUUAUCUGCCCAAGAACAGUAGUUCUAAGAAGUUGUUUCUGUGUGUCUUCUGGGAAGAAUUUGUCCUUCAAUAUAUGUGAUUGCAACAUGCUGGUAAAAGUAAAAGAAAAACAAUAAAAC